CCCUAGGACGAUGGAAUAACAAAAUGCAAGGAGCCUGGAUCUCGGAGAACUUUGCAGAGAAGGGCUGCCGUGGCAGACUCUCAGGAGAGAAAACAGAUGCUCUUGUUUAACUGUGAUUUGCGGUCUCCUCGCUGCAGUGGUUCAGCUGACACCCAAACAAAUGCACUGAACCCACUAAGGGUCUUUCCCAGGAAUUUGGAAUGGAUACCCUGGGAAUUAGCUGUCAGGGGGUCCAAAGGUCAUGGCCACAGUCGGAGCCAUGGCCAGCCUAAACAGAGACGCUGGAUAAGCAGAGGAAGCCAGAGAGAGGAGCAUGAAGAGAGGUGCAGUGAGAAAAGAGCAGAGAAGAAAGAAGGUAGGGAGGGGGCUGCUGCCCCUCUCAAUGGCACCCCAGUCCCCGCACCCCAGUCCCAGGCACAGUUCCUGCAGAGCUCCGGAUGUAUCCUGCUGUUCGAUGUCAUAAAAUUGUCCUGUGUCCUUUCACUACUAUGACUGAGUUUCUCUUCUUUGCAACCAGCAGGGCACGCACGCCGGCUCCUCCCUUACCACCAGCCUGUCGCAUCUGGCUCUAGGCACGGUGAUGGUGUGAUGCUGGCCCAGAGCGGCCUCUCCCUCCCAACACACUGCUCCAGGCUCUGGGAACCCAGCGGCGGACAAGACACGUCAACAUUUAUCCUCAAGGGCAGUUACCACUGAUGAGGUGCCGCACGUGGGCGGGACUCUUCCGAGGCUCUUCUCUCCAUCUGUGCGGGUCAUGGUCUGCCGUGCUGGAGGCUGAGGGUUAGAAUCGAUAAGAUCGGUCCCUGCUCUCCUGGAACUUGAAGAGUCAGAGUGAAGGAUACAGGCAGAGAUAGAGGCAAGUUCAUGCUCUAAAGUGUUCUGCUGCAGGACCAGCUGGCUGGGAACCGCUCCCGGGCCUUUGUCUGAGGCGCUUCUCCUCUCUUGUCACGGCUGCGGGGCUGGGGGCAGUGACGAGCACCGGCCUGAGGGGGCUACUUCCUGGCCCUCACUCCAAGUCUGUGGUCUCAGGCCUGGAAGGCCCAGGUCACCAAACCAUGCAGGUGAACUCUAGACUCCUGGUUCUCCAGUUUGGGGCUGGCGCUGGGUGACCUGAACGGUUUUCCUGCCAUGGCAGAACAAUGCAAAGUUCAGGAAGGCCCUGCUUGCAUCGUCAGGGGAGCCCCAUGGCCCACCCAGCCCAUAUAAAAGGGAGGCUCAUGGGGGGCUGCCCCUGACCCUGGAAUUAGUAUCAACAGAGCCAGAGCAGGUGCCGGAGAGGAGGGAGCAGGGGCAGAGGCGGGCAGUGUCGCAGAGGCAUCAAGAUUUGACGCCUAGGGAGACCUUCAGGAAUGCCUUCUGGGGUGGGUGAGGGGAGCCGGGAUGCACGGUCAGGAACUCUCGCAGGUGGGAGGGAGACCGCAGAAUCAGAAGGGGCUUUGACCAUAGGAAACCCAGGGCCACCACGCUCACCCGAGGGUGCCACCCAGAGGCCUCACUCAUUCCUGGCAUGGGAGCCCUCCUGUAGCCGGGGCAGGACAGGGAGCUGCCCUUAGAGCUGGCCCGACAGGUUUACGGAAUAAUUACAGGGGCCCUGGUGUGGAGGUGUGGAGCCUGUUUGCAUAUGAUUUGCAUAUGAUUUGCACAUGAAUAGCCUGCGCUUUGGGUUCCCAGGCAGUUUUCAACUUAAAUAUUAAUUGUUGCUGCCCUUAGGGUUUUCAUUGGUUGGUUCUGUUUUCUCUGUUUCUUCUCACCCACUUGCUGUCAGUGACUCCGAUCUGUGUGUGUGUGUAUGUGUGUGUGUGUGUGUGUGUGUGAGAGAGAGAGAGAGAGAGCGGGGAAGCAGCCCAGGUGUGGAGGAUCAGGUGUCUACUAGGUGCAGAAAGCAGUAGCCGCGCAAAGCAACAAACCAGCCAAUGAUGCUAAAGAAACUUCCGGAUUCCUCCCGGGCCCAGCAGGACCUCCUCUCUGGUGGUGAUGUGGGACGUGUGGCCCCCAGCCCCGGCUGCGGCGCAGUACCAGACUCAGCAAUCGCCUGCCAGCCUGCCCGCCCCAGCCCUCGCCUGCCCCCCAGAUCUGCCAGCUCCUGCCCGCUCUGUCACCAGAGGCCCAUCCACACGCGGCACGGAGACAGGGAAAGGUGAGGCUGUGCAGAGCAGCAUUUAGCUCACAGGCUCUGAGGCCGACUGUGCCGCAUCUGGAUCUUGGCUCUGUAUCCUAAGUAACUUUGCAACUCUGGGCAACUGACUGACCACCCUCGCGCCCCAGGUUCCUCUUCUGUAAAACAGAGUGACCCAGAGUGCCUGCCUCAUUGUGAGGUGGGGACGAGGCCUGCGUGUGGAGCCCCUGGCCCUGGGCCUCCCUGGUACACAGACUGUGCUCCCUGCCGCUGAGCUGCAGACAUCCCACCCCAGGUGUGGGUCACCUGGUCCCAGCCUUGCCCAGUGCGGGACAUCCCAUGCCAGCACGGCAUCAUUUGGCUUUGGUGCCAACGUCCCCUGAGACGGAGGCUCACUCCUGUUCUCCUGAGGGCUGUUCCCAGCACACACACGAUAACCCCGUUAAAGGACCCUUAGAAGGGAGCUCAGAGCUUUUCCAGGAGCUGGCCUCUGUGCCCGGCUCUCAUCCGGAGAAAGGACUUCCUUGGGCGGCCCCUCGGCUCCCUGCAAGUCGACUCGAGUCUGGUGUCUGGGGUCCUGCAGCCCGCAGCUCCCCUUCUCUCUGAGAGCCCAGGAAAAAUUGCAGGAUGUGCUCCCUUCUUGCGCCUUCUCAACCCAAGCUGCUUAGACCGAGCACCUUGCUCUUGCCCCAGAACAAGGUGGGACACCAGAGUGUCUCUGAGCCACUGACACAGGCCUCUUGGAGCUUUUCUCCUCCAGCACCUGACUGGGUCCGUAGAGUCCUCCUGGGAAGCGUGACGAGCAGCCUGAGGUUGGCUGAGGAUGGCGGCCACUGCUCAGUGCGCCAGGCAACAUGCUGCGGGCUCUAAAUACACGCGCUCGAAGGGGUAAGUGCUACUAUUAUUCCCAUUUCACGGCUGUGGGAAGCGAGGCUUAGAAAAGCUAAGGAAUGUGCCCCGAAUGGCUCGGCUCUUACGCUGGGGAGCCUGGUGGUGAUGCCGACAGGCUGGCUCCAGACACUGGCUGCUACCAGCUGCAGGACUACUUCUCUAAAGGCAUUUUUCUCAUAACUGGGUUUUCUUCUCUUUUUCUUCUGUAAGAGGUGACUGGCUCAAGAGAUGAAUCCUUCUAGAAUCUGCCUGUCUCCGUAUCUGUGUUGUAAGCACGAUUUGGGUAUGCAGCGAGCAAUGGUCUUUAUUUCUUUGGGCUUCACUUAUAGAUCUGAGGUCUUGAGUUGACCUUGGGGCGCCCUUAUCUAGAGGGGUGGCUACACAACACCCCCCUCCCACCAGGCAUCUCAGCACCUCUGAGCCAAGGGCACAACGAUUCCCCUCUCAUAAGCUCCAACCCAGAUUUCUCCUCCUCCUUCCAUGUUACCAUCAUAAAACCUGCUCACACCGGCUCCACCCCAGGCCCCCUUUCACCAGCCCCGAUGCUGGGGUCCUGACCUCCCAGAAAAAUGCAACUUCCGGAGAGCACUCUGGGCUCAGCAGUCUGUGAGCUUUUCCCCCCCAGGGGUGAAGAAUCAAGGCCCCACUUAAGUCAUAAAAUCACCUCUGAUGACCAUGACCUUAUUAGAACUGCAUCCAAAUGUGGUGUUCCCACUAAGCUCAGAAGAAAGGUCCAGAAAUUUCUGCAAAACUUCAGCCAUGCUUGGGGAGUGGGGGGACAUCGUUAGGAAAACGGCGAACAAAGUUGUUAUUUUCCUCAUAUCUCCAAGGAAACAGCUCGAGAGUAGGGCUCUUACCCAAAACGUCAGGAGCUUGUGACAUGUGAGGAGGAUGGGUUGAUUCUGACUGUAUUGUGAGGACCCAAGGAAUGGCUGAAUUUUUCUUUGAAAAUCCAAGAGACAGCACCUGGGAAGAGGAGGCCACAUAUUCAUAGUCUUAUUUACCUGGACAGGGCAUAGCUAUUGGUCAGCAAGGCUGCUGAUUGGGGAGGUUAGAAGUUCAAAAAUCGCCCAUUCGAGUGCCAUCCGUAUCCUGUCUGGAGAAUUCCAGGAGCAGCCUGGGAACGAUGGAGACCUGCUUCCAGCUCCCUCUCUGUCUUCAGCUUCCCCUCUCUGGUCCUCAGUCUCUGCAAAAUAAAGAGGUAGGCCUAUAUCUUCAGUUUCCAAACUUUUAAAACAGCAGUGGCUUCUCUUUAAAAAAAAAAAAUCUCUUGUGAAAGUCCAAAGUAUAUGACAGAUCAAAGAGCAGCAGCUUUGGCUGAGUUUUCUGGGGAUGGUUCCCUCAGGGCCCUGGGAAAUCUGACAGGUCAGUCUGGGAACCUCUCCCUACCUGAGCUCUAGGUGCCCAUCAGCUCCAGGGAAAACAAAGGAGACUCUCGUUCCUGGGGCUUGGACUUAGCCCAGGGAACUUGGCCUUGACCUUGGAUGGGCGAAGCAGCUGGAGUGCACUGUGGAAAGAAUUUUACGGCAUGACAUUUGGUGGUCUUUUCCCUUUCUUUCCUUUCACCUUUUCUCCCACUUUCCCAGUUCUUUUCCUUCUCCC